rnacentral:rRNA from 1 species
GGUUGUUCAAAAUUGAUAUGGGUUUUUGAUCUUUCGGAUUGGGCAUGCCAAACUAGCACCAAACACUUAUUCUCAAACUUUAAAUAGGUAGGACGGCGCGGCUGCUUUGUUGAGCCGUGCCAGACCUCCAAGUGGGCCAUUUUUGGUAAGCAGAACUGGCGAUGCGGGAUGAAUCAGAAGCCGGGUUACGGUGCCCAACUGCAGCUAACCUAGAACCCACAAAGGGUGUUGGUCGAUUAAGACAGCAGGACGGUGGUCAAGGAAGCCGAAAUCCGCUAAGGAGUGUGUAACAACUCACCUGCCAAAUCAACUAGCCCCGAAACGCAUGCUGAAAAUUUGGACCCAAAUUUUCAAACCUUGUCAAACCCCAUUUUUAUUGAAAUUUCCUAGACAAUAAGUA